rnacentral:lncRNA from 1 species
ACUUAGACAGACUAUGAAGAGAUACAUAGGGUGAGAAACGGAGGCCUUCAGCCAACAGCUGGGAGAAGCUGAGUCCCAUCAGCCAUUCAAAAGACUGCAGCCCCAGCCAAGAGUUUGAUGUAACCUCAGGAGAGACCCUGAGCCAGAACCACCUAGAAAUCUCCAAGUGAGAAGACCUUACUUGUCUUCUGAAAGUCUGGCCAACGAGCUAUACCUAGUGAUUCCAAAGUCCACAUAUAUUUACUCUGUUCUCACUGUACAAAGUAACCACUCUGAAGUCAAAAAAGCUGGGAUACAUGAAGACUGCCAUCCCUUGAGUCACUUGCCCUGUAGCUGCCACUGUUGGAAAAGGGCUUGCUUCUGUGUCCUUGUGCCCACUUUGAAAAUCCCUGGGAAGUCCUUGGAGUCAGAUGAGCAGGCCUCCGCCACUCUGCCAAAAAGUCUGUUCAGAAGUUUCACAUCACUAGAGAAGAGAGAAGAAGGACAUUUGUACUGGGAGGAGUCGACCGGUCCCAGUAAGGAGAAAGUAGCUACAGCGUCAUGGGUGAGCUGGGUCCCCCAAAAAGGAACUUUAAGGGAAUGGACUGAAUCAAGUCUGAGAUGUCCCCAAAGCAAGACCAAAGAACUGAGGAAGAGAAGCAUUCAUCAGAAACCAAAAUUCAGCUACAAGUGAGCAUCCAGAUGGAGGUAUUAUGAAGAGGAACUGAGACUGAGGGCAAAAGGUGCCAGCCAGAAUCCUGGAUAGGAGAGCAAGAACCAGGACCUCAUUUAAGAGACAACCUGCUUAAGGCAGAGUAAGCACAAAUGGGCACUCAACAUCAAUGAAGUAACAGCAAAGUCACAUAAUAAAAGCAUGGAAUUAAGACAAGCUGAAGAUUCGGAUGCAAUAAAACAACCACCCAUUAUUAUCUCA